UACGGGGGGGGCGAGCGUUGUUCGGAAUCACUGGGCGUAAAGGGCGCGUAGGCGGCCCGCACAAGUCUGCGGUGAAAACCCCCGGCUUAACCGGGGGCCGGCCGUGGAAACUGUCGGGCUAGAGGCCGGGAGAGGGCAGCGGAAUUCCCGGUGUAGCGGUGAAAUGCGCAGAUAUCAGGGGGAACACCAAUUGCGAAGGCAGCUCGCUGGGACGUUACUGACGCUGAGACGCGAAAGCGUGGGGAGCAAACAGG
rnacentral:rRNA from 1 species